CGGGAUGUAGCGCAGCCUGGCAGCGUACUAGCAUGGGGUGCUAGGGGUCGCUGGUUCGAAUCCAGUCAUCCCGA
rnacentral:tRNA from 1 species